rnacentral:rRNA from 1 species
GGCCUACCAUGGUGGUAACGGGUAACGGGGUGUUAGGGCACGACACCGGAGAGGGAGCCUGAGAAACGGCUACCACAUCCAAGGAUGGCAGCAGGCGCGCAAAUUACCCAAUCCCGACACGGGGAGGUAGUGACAAUAAAUAACAAUACGGGGUUCUUUCGGAUUUCGUAAUUGGAAUGAGUACAAUUUAAAUCUCUUAACGAGGAACAAUUGGAGGGCAAGUCUGGUGCCAGCAGCCGCGGUAAUUCCAGCUCCAAUAGCGUAUAUUAAAGUUGCUGCAGUUAAAAAGCUCGUAGUUGAAUUUCGGGACCAUCAUGUCGGUCGUGCCUCGGUACGUACUGGCAUUGUUGGUUUCUCCCUUCUGACGAACCAUGAUGUCAUUUAUUUGGUGUUGUGGGAAAUCAGGACUGUUACUUUGAAAAAAUUAGAGUGUUUAAAGCAGGCUCACGCUUGAAUACAUUAGCAUGGAAUAAUGAAAUAGGACGUUUGAUUCUAUUUUGUUGGUUUCUAGGAUCGACGUAAUGAUUAAUAGGGAUAGUUGGGGGCAUUAGUAUUCAAUUGUCAGAGGUGAAAUUCUUGGAUUUAUUGAAGACUAACUACUGCGAAAGCAUUUGCCAAGGAUGUUUUCAUUAAUCAAGAACGAAAGUUAGGGGAUCGAAGACGAUCAGAUACCGUCGUAGUCUUAACCAUAAACUAUGCCGACUAGGGAUCGGAUGAUGUUAAUUUUUUAAUGACUCAUUCGGCGCCUUACG